AAUGGCGAGACAUGAGGUGAGUGUUGGAGUGGGGGGGCUCAGCCACACCACCUACAGACCCCCCCCCCCGACACUCCCACACACUGCAGCAACAGCCCCUUUGCUCUACCAGACUUGUUAAACUUUAACUAAUCCGUCCUGCCAACAAAGCGCCCAUAUCCCUUGCACUUUUAUAAAGCGUCCACCACCACCCCAGGCCGGGCAGUGCAUUCCAGGCACCCAUCACUUGUCCCUCACCCCUCCUGUAAAACGACCCCGUCAUGCGUCUGGUAUGAGACGCGUCAACCCUGAGAAACAGAGACUGUCAUUGCCUCUCAUAAUCUUCCAUGAGAUCUCCCUUCAGCCUCCGCCACUCCAGACAAAACAACCCAAGUUUAUCCAGCUUCUCAUGACAGCACAAGCCCUCUAAUCCAGGCAGCAUCCGGGUAAAACUCUCUGCCCCCUUUCCAAAGCCACAACACCCUACAGCAGGGUGACCAGAAACUCCAGAUGUGGCCAAACCAGAGUCUUAUAAAGUUGCAACAUAAUCUCUUGACUUUUGAGCUCAAUGCCUCGACUAAUAAAAGUGAGUAUUCCAUCAGCCUUCUUAACCCCCUAUCCACCUGUGCAGCCACUUUCAAGGAGCUAUGAACACGGACCCCAAGAUCCCUCUACUCGUCAACACUCUUAGGGAUCUUGCCGUUGACUGCAGUGUACUGUCUCCUUGCAUUUGCCCUACUGAGGUGCAACACCUCACAUUUAUCUGGGUUAAACUCCACCUGCCAUUUCUCAGCCCAUAUCCAUAAAUAAUCUCUAUCCCGUUGUAUUUUUUACCAACCUUCUUCACUAUCCACAAUGCCACUAAUCACCUGCAAAUUUUCAAAUCCAAGAUCAGAGAGGUGGAGAGGCUCAACAACUGUUAUUAUUUUGGAGGACCUGUCUAAAACUUUUGGCAAACUUCUAUAGAUGUGAGGUGGGGAGUAUAUUGACGGGCUGCAUCACAGCCUGGUGGGGAACAGAAAAUCCCACAAAAGCAACUGCCCAGGACAUGCUCUCUUCUCAUUGCUGCUAUCAGGAAGAAGGAACAGGAGCCUCAGGACUAACAGCGCCAUAUUCAGGAACAGUUAUUACCCCUCAGCCAUCAGUCUUUUGAACCAAAGGAGGUAACUUCAUUUAAUUUCAUUUGCCUCAUCAUUGAAAUGUUCCCACAACCUAUGAGUCACUUUCAAGGACUCAUGUUCUCAAUAUUUCUUUAUUAUUAUGAUUUCUUUCUUUUUGUAUUUGCACAGCAGCCGAAAGCCCAUUUGGUGCAGUCUUCCAUUGAUUGUCUUAUGGUUAUUAUUCUAUGGGUUUAUUAAGUUUGCCUGCAGGGCUGUAUAUGGUGAUAUUUUAUAUAUACAUACACACACACACACACACAUACUUAGAUAAUAAACUCACUUUGAACCACAUCUGCAUCCAAGUCAUUUAUAUAAAUCACAGACAGCUGCAGUCCCAGUACAGAUCCCUACGGAACACCACUCAUCACAGGCCCCCAGCGAGAACAAGUCUCUGACCAAAAACCCGGCUUCUACGGGCAAGCCAGUUCUGAAUCCAAAUUGGCCAUUUCAACAUCGAUCCCAAAUAUCUUAAUCUUCUGGAUGAGAGAGCUUGGCAAAGGUUUUCCUAAACUUCAUCUAGACGUGGUCCACAGCCUGCGUUCAGAGGGUUUGGAGGGCCAAGAUCUACAUGCAUCUGGAAAGACAGAGGUUGAGUUGGGGUCCUAAGGCCUUUGAUAAGUCAGCUGGGAGAGUUAACUGGAUACAUGGCUAGCUUGAUGGUGGGUGACAGUGGAAAGUUGUUUCUCAGACAGGAGUCCUGAGACUCCUGGUACUGGCCCAGGAUUGCUUGUCAUCUACAUCAGUGAUUUGGACAAGCUGAAUGAAGAUGCUCAUCAAAAAUGACAGCAGGAUCUUGACUAUCUGAGUAAGUGAGUGAAGGAAUGGCAACAAAGGUUUAAUUCAGACAAGUGAGAGAAGUUACAUUUUGGAAAGUCCCAUCGAGGUUGGGCUUUCACAGUGAGCAGUCAGGCUCCAGGGAGUGCUGUAGAACAGACGGAUUCUGGAGUACGAGUAUUUACAUGUAGAAUUACGGGCAGACAGGAUAGUGAAGAAGCUGUUUAUCACACUGGCUUUCAUCAGUCAGGGCACGGAGUAUAAAAGUUGGGAGAUUACGACGCAGUUGUAGAGUUUUUGUCAUUCUGCAAAAGUGAAGAUGUUAUUAAACUGGAAAGAGCACAUUAAAGUUUUACAAGGAGUUCACCAGGACUUGAGGGACGGGGUUUUCAUGGAAAGGUUGAACAAGUUAGGGCUUUAUUCCUCUGACCACAGGAGACUGAGAUCUUAUAGAGGUGUUUAUAAUCAAUAGGGGCAUGGAUAGGAUGAGUGUACUCAGUAUUUUUCACAAGGUUAAGGAAUCAAGAACUGGAGUGCACAGGUUUAAAAUGAGAAGAAGAUUGAGUGGAACACUUGUGGAAUGAACUACCAGAGUAAUUGGCCGAGGCAGGUACCACAGCUUUGAAAAGGCACUUGGACAGGGAAGGCUUGGAGGGGUACGGGAUAUAUGUGGACAAAUUGGACCAACUUGGACAGCAUGAAGCAGAUUAGCUGAAGGAUCUGUAUGACUCUGAGACUUGACCUGGCCAACACAAAGCCACGUUGACUCUCCUUAAGGCCAUGUUUUUUCCCCAAAUGUUUGUAAACAACUUGCCCAGCUUAAUCUCUCCUACAUGAUGCAUAUUGAUUUUUAUAUAGUGGGGGAGUUUAGGACCAGCGGGUACAGCAUCAGAAUGCAAGAAUGCCCCAUUUGUAUAGAGCUGAAGGUGAACAACCUUAGCCAGAGGAUGGUGAAGCUGUAGAAUCCACUGUCACAGGCCUAAUCAUAGGCUGAUAAUUCACUAACAAAGGUUACGGGGGUAAGACGGGAGAGACGGAUUUGAACCAUAGAACACUACAGCACAGAAAACAGGCCAUUCAGCCCCUCUAGUCUGUGCCAAAACUUUAUUCCACUAGUCCCAUUGACCUGCGCCCAGUCCAUAACUCUCCAGAUCUCUCCCAUCCAUGUAUCUAUCCAAUCUAUUCUUAAAAAACUUAAGAGUGAGCCCACAUUUACCACAUCAGAUGGCAGCUUGUUCCACACUCCCACCACUCUGAGUGAAGAAGCCCCCCCUAAACCUUUCCCCUUUCACCCUAAAGCCAUGUCCUCUCGUAUUUUUCUCUCCUAAUCUAAGUGGAAAGAGCCUACUCGCAUUUACUCUGUCUAUACCCCUCAUAAUUUUGUAAACCUCUAUCAAAUCUCCCCUCAUUCUUCUACGCUCCAAGGAAUAAAGUCCUAACCUGUUCAAUCCUCCCCUGUAACUCAACUCCUGAAGACCCGGCAACAUCCUAGUAAAUCUUCUCUGCACUCUUUCAAUCUUACUGAUAUCCUUCCUAUAGUUAGGUGACCAGAACUGCACACAAUACUCCAAAUCCGGCCUCACCAAUGUCUUAUACAACCUCACCAUAACAUCCCAACUCCUAUACUCAAUAUUUUGAUUUAUGAAUGCCAGGAUGCCAAAGGCCUUCUUUACAACCCUGUCUACCUGUGAUGCCACUUUUAGGGAAUUAUGUAUCUGAACUCACAUAUCCCUUUGUUCCUCCGCACUCCUUAGUGCCCUACCAUUUACUGUGUAUGUCCUACCUUGAUUUGUCCUUCCAAAAUGCAACACCUCACACUUGUCUGCAUUAAAUUCCAUCUGCCAUUUUCUGGUUUUUCCAGUUGGUCCAGAUCCCUCUGCAAGCUUUGAAAGCCUUCCUCGCUGUCCACACCACCUCUAAUCUCAGUGUCAUCAGCAAACUUGCUGAUCCAAUUUACCACAUUAGAUCAUUGAUCAUUGAUAUAGAAAACAAACAACAAUGGUCCCAACACAGAUCCCUGAGGCACACCACUAGUCACAGGUCUGCAGUCUGAGAAGCAAUCAUCCACUACCACUCUCUGUCUUCUCCCACACAGCCAAUUUCGAAUCCAGUUUACAACCUCUACAUGGAUACCUAGUGUCUGAGAGGGAUAAUAAAUCAGGCAGGUAGAAUAGCACAGACUAGAGGGGAUGAAUGGCCUAACGGUUCUUCAAUGUCUUAUGGUCUUAUCUCAAAGUCCAUUUAUUAUCGCAGUAUGUAUGCCAUGUACAGCAUUCAGAUUUGUCUCCCAAAGGCAGCCACAGAACAUAACGAGUUGUGGUUGCUGUCCUCUCGCUGAAAUAUCAGUAACCUGGCCAGUCCCUUACAUAACACAAGGUUCUGUAUAGCUCCUAUUGUUGUUUGACAAGGAUACACCCUAUCCUUGUUACAUGCGUCUUCACAGUUAUGAGAGGAACCUAUUUCUACCAACAUCUCCUUGUAUGCGUCCAAAACUCACAGAUAUGUGAGGAGCACUGCUUUCUCGUCAAUACAAGUCAGGUGCGCGUGCCUCAGUCUCACUGUAGGGAUGAGAAGCACCAUUUUCCCACCAAUACAAGUCAGGUGUGUGCGCCUCACCAUCCCAUUCCCGCCAGUCUCACAUUGAUUUUGGCAAGGUGUGGAUGUGCGAUCUUGCGCUCUUAAACUUCUGUUGGUUUUCCCUACGGUGCAGUGAUUUUGUGCUUGAAAUAUUUAACGAUGUCUCCUAAGUGUCCGAUGUCAUGUCCUGGGCCAUCAGCCGAGCAGCAGAGAACCGCUUAACACUUGAAAAAAAGUUUGGAAAUUAUAAACAGCGCAGCAUCAGGUGAAGGUAACAUAGCUCUGGGAUGCUACUGCCUGGAACAGAAUCUUGCCUUUAAAGUUCUUUUGUUGCUUGACAAUGCACCAGCCCAUCCUAAACAUUUGGACAGCAUUCAUCCUAACAUGACAGUGCGUUUCCUGCUGCCUAACACAACAUUGCUGAUUCAACCACUCAACCAAGGUGUGAUCCACAUUCAAGGGUUUUUUUUUACAGCAAACUAUCUCUCAGAUGCUGCAAGCAACAGACGAUUUUGAAAAUCCCGGGAGUUUACCAACGUCCGAAGGGCCUGAGCACCUUCAGCCAUGCCGACGGAAACAGGGCAGAUGGGAGAGAACGCAGCGGGAGCGAUAGGAUACGGGAAAGUGCAAGGUCGUUGCUUGGCACACAGCAGUGCUGGAAAGUUUCUGAACCCUGGAGAAUUCCCUCUAUUUCUGCACAAGUAUGACCUAAAUGUUUUUAGGUACUUCUCUGUUUAUGUAGACGUCUGCGAAGAGAAAGCAUUUCAGGAUGUAUCUUGUAUACAUUUCUCUGACAUUAAAUGUACCUAUUGAAACGUGUUCAGAUCUACACACAAGUCUUAAAACUAAAUAAAGAGAACCCAAUUAAAUAAUAACACCAACAUUAUACUUGUUCCUUUACUUAUUGAGAAAAUGAUCCAAUAUUACGUGUAUUUGUUGGAAAAGGUAUGUGAACCUCUGGAAUAAUGCCUUCUACACAAGCUAUUCAAGAGUCAGUGCUCCAAUCAAUGAGAUGAUGAGAUUGGAGGUGUGUGGGUUGUGGAGGUGCCCCGCCCUAUAAAAAAAAGGACAGUCAGGUUACUGACAGAGCUUGCCCUUCUCAAGAAAGAUCUGCUUACAUGCACCAUGCCUUGAUCAAAAACCGUAGGACUUUAAAAGGGGAUAGAAGGGUGGACUGGCAAGUUUGCAGAUGACACACAGGUUGGUGGUGUUGUAAAUAGUGUAGAGGAUUGUUGAAGAUUGCAGAGAGACAUUGAUAGGAUGCAGAAGUGGGCUGAGAAGUGGCAGAUGGAGUUCAACCCGGAGAAGUGUGAGGUGGUACACUUUGGAAGGACAAACUCCAAGGCAGAGUACAAAGUAAAUGGCAGGAUACUUGGUAGUGUGGAGGAGCAGAGGGAUUUGGGGGUACAUGUCCACAGAUCCCUGAAAGUUGCCUCACAGGUCGAUAGGGUAGUUAAGAAAGCUUAUCGGGUGUUAGCUUUCAAAAGUCAAGGGAUAGAGUUUAAGAGAUGCGAUGUAAUGAUGCAGCUCUAUAAAACUCUAGUUAGGCCACACUUGGAGUACUGAGCCCAGUUCUGGUCGCCUCAGUAUAGGAAAGAUGUGGAAGCACUGGAAAGGGUACAGAGGAGAUUUACCAGGAUGCUGCCUGGUUUAGAGAGUAUGGAUUAUGAUCAGAGAUUAAGGGAGCAAGGGCUUUACUCUUUGGAGAGAAGGAGAAUGAGAGGCC